rnacentral:rRNA from 1 species
UACGUAGGGUGCAAGCGUUGUCCGGAAUUAUUGGGCGUAAAGAGCUCGUAGGCGGUCUGUCGCGUCUGCUGUGAAAAUCCAGGGCUCAACCCUGGACCUGCAGUGGGUACGGGCAGACUAGAGUGCGGUAGGGGAGAGCGGAAUUCCUGGUGUAGCGGUGAAAUGCGCAGAUAUCAGGAGGAACACCGGUGGCGAAGGCGGAGCUCUGGGCCGUAACUGACGCUGAGGCACGAAAGCGUGGGUAGCAAACAGG